AGCCUGAGAAUGUCAGCUACCGAGAAAGGGGUGGAGGCCACAGGACUCGACAGCAUCUCGUAGCCGAGGGGCGGAGCUGGCAAGUUCUGGACCACAGCCAGGUGUCGCACCCCCAACUUCCUCUUCUGUAGUGGCAGUCCUAAUCGAUUCUGGGAUGCACACUAGGUCCUGGACCGCGCCUUCCCUUGACUGGGGCACCAGGACCGGGUGAUAAGAUCGCUGUCCUCCAUUGGUUCCCACAGAAACCACGUGCUAACCCUGAGCCUUCUUACCCAAAAACUGACAGAAACCUAACAUAACCAUUAGAGAGGCUUCACCCAGAAACCGACGGAAACAAAUCCAGAAACCCACAGCCGAACAUUAGAACAAUUCAGUAGAAUGUGGAAACAGCUCUCAUUCCAAGCAAACCCAGAAGGGACUCUGGAGAAAGAAUGGCAGUGGUACCUGUUUGGAGCUUCAUGAGUCUCCUCAACUCCAUCACCUGCACUUUCAAGCUAAGCCAAAUGCAGCUGCUUGGCAACCAUAUUGUCUGUAUUUCCCCUACAAUUCCACUCAGUAUAUCUCUUAUACUAUGCUUCUUCCUAA
ensembl:antisense 1700092C10Rik RIKEN cDNA 1700092C10 gene